rnacentral:tRNA from 1 species
GGAGAGAUGGCUGAGUGGCCGAUAGCGCCGGCUUGCUAAGCCGGUGUACUCCUCACGGGGUACCGAGGGUUCGAAUCCCUCUCUCUCCGCCA